UCGGGAAACUGCCUGAUGGAGGGGGAUAACUACUGGAAACGGUAGCUAAUACCGCAUAACGUCGCAAGACCAAAGAGGGGGACCUUCGGGCCUCUUGCCAUCGGAUGUGCCCAGAUGGGAUUAGCUAGUAGGUGGGGUAACGGCUCACCUAGGCGACGAUCCCUAGCUGGUCUGAGAGGAUGACCAGCCACACUGGAACUGAGACACGGUCCAG
rnacentral:rRNA from 1 species